CCCUUAGAUGUUCUGGGCCGCACGCGUGCUACACUGAGUGGAUCAGCGGGUCAGGUUGCGCGAAAGCGUUUCCUAAUCUUUAAAUCCGCUCGUGAUGGGGAUUGACGGUUGCAAUUUUCUGUCAUGAACGAGGAAUACCUUGUAAGCGCGGGUCAUCAUCCCGCGCUGAAUACGUCCCUGCCCUUUGUACACACCGCCCGUCGCUCCUACCGAUUGAACGUUUUAGUGAGGCAUUUGGACCGACGCAUCUCAGUUUAACCGCUGGUUUGUGUUGGAAAGACUUCCAAACUUGAGCGUUUAGAGGAAGUAAAAGUCGUAACA
rnacentral:rRNA from 1 species